AUAUGAGGAAAGGUGCAGCUAAGUGGACUAGAAGGAGAUCUUAUCCAUUGAGGAAGUAUUGUGUCUAUGAAAUCCUAUGCUGAAAGGUGCUUAGCUUCUUCAUGGGUUUCAGUACAUGGUAUUUCCUACAGGUCGUAUGAUGCCAGUUGUAAAGGAGGAACGUUGAGGGCUACAUUGAUACUUCUAUUACCAAUAUUAAGCCGUUCCAUGGACAUGAAGACUGUUGAAUAAUUUAUCUGGGAUCACUUGAAAACCAAAACACGUCCAAUUUUUGAUCGUUUGGUGAAACAGUAAAUGCAUCAGUAUUACAUUUAUUCGUUUAUGGAUGAGAUAGAUAUUAGAGGAGCUUAAAAGUAGGUGAGAAAAUUCAUAGAGCAACACUGAAAAGCUUUUCUGGAAAGGCUAUGGACCCUGUUUCACUUAUGAAUGUAUUGUACCGGAAUAUUACAUAUUUUAUAUUAUAGGUGAGCUUGGCUGCCAAGUUUGAACUUUGAAUGAAUAUCUUCAUUUCAACAAUGGGUUGGAUGAAUAUGAUUGCAUGGCAAA